UCGCCGCCCAGUCUUGGAUAGUUAUAUUUGAGAGCAAUUUAUUUAAAUCUUCAAAGAGAUAAUUCCGGAAUCAGGGAGGAAAGAGUCCCUCCGCCGCCCAUUGGAACAUGGAAUGGAGCUGCGGGUGAAGCCAACCUUCCUGAAAUUCCAAAUAUUUUUUUUCGAACCUACUGCAAAAUACGUCUUACAAGAGUUAUAAUGCAUAAGACGGAGAAGCUCUGGAUCAGGUCAUGGAGGAUUGAAGUAUUCCGGGCAUCGCGAGGAGUCGAAGAAGCAGCGGGGGGAAGUCAGAUGGUAGAGUUUUUGGAGUUGGUACGAAGGAUCUGCGUGGUCGAGGCCCGCCAGAAUUUCUCCAAUCCUAGAUAUAUAAAAAAAGAAUGAUCAAUAAAUCUUUGAAAUUAUGGACUUCAUAUUUGCAGCCGCAUGAUGUCAUAUGUACAUGUCUAAAAUUGUUAACAAUCAUAAUAAUACUUGUAAUGUCGAUUUUUUUUCUUUUUAAA